rnacentral:rRNA from 1 species
AGAGUUUGAUCAUGGCUCAGGACGAACGCUGGCGGCGCGCCUAACACAUGCAAGUCGAACGAGAAUCAGCUGAUGAAGUUUUCGAAUGGAUUCGGUUGAGGAAAGUGGCGAACGGGCGAGUAACGCGUGAGCAACCUACCUUGUACUGGGGGAUAACGUCGGGAAACCGGCGCUAAUACCGCAUAACAUUACGAUAGCGCAUGUUAUUGUAAUCAAAGCUUUAGUGGUACGAGACGGGCUCGCGUCCAAUUAGCUAGUUGGUGAGGUAAAGGCUCACCAAGGCGACGAUUGGUAGCCGAACUGAGAGGUUGAUCGGCCGCAUUGGGACUGAGACACGGCCCAGACUCCUACGGGAGGCAGCAGUGGGGAAUAUUGCGCAAUGGGGGAAACCCUGACGCAGCGACGCCGCGUGAAGGAAGAAGGCCUUCGGGUUGUAAACUUCUUUGAUCGGGGACGAAGAUGACGGUACCCGAGGAACAAGCCACGGCUAACUACGUGCCAGCAGCCGCGGUAAUACGUAGGUGGCAAGCGUUGUCCGGAAUUACUGGGCGUAAAGGGCGUGUAGGCGGGGGGACAAGUCAGAUGUGAAAUACCGCGGCUUAACUGCGGGGGUGCAUCUGAAACUGUUCUUCUUGAGUGUCGGAGAGGAAAGUGGAAUUCCCAGUGUAGCGGUGAAAUGCGUAGAGAUUGGGAGGAACACCAGUGGCGAAGGCGGCUUUCUGGACGAUAACUGACGCUGAGGCGCGAAAGCGUGGGGAGCAAACAGGAUUAGAUACCCUGGUAGUCCACGCUGUAAACGAUGGAUACUAGGUGUAGGAGGUAUCGACCCCUUCUGUGCCGGAGUUAACACAAUAAGUAUCCCGCCUGGGGAGUACGGCCGCAAGGCUGAAACUCAAAUGAAUUGACGG